rnacentral:sRNA from 1 species
GUAGCGAGUCUGCCCCAAACCAGCCGCGCGCUUCUGCCCUUGUCGGUUUAGGAAACUGGGAAGUUCCCUGGUCCUGCUCCCUGGCCCGCAGAGGGGACACUGAGGCCCACGGUAGGUGGUCCUCUCCUCACCCGAGUCUCCACACAGACACCAUGGCCGAGCCUCUGAAGGAGGAAGACGGCGAGGACGGCUCUGCGGAGCCCCCCGGGCCCGUGAAGGCCGAACCCGCCCACACCGCUGCCUCUGUAGCGGCCAAGAACCUGGCCCUGCUUAAAGCCCGCUCCUUCGAUGUGACCUUUGACGUGGGCGACGAGUACGAGAUCAUCGAGACCAUAGGCAACGGGGCCUAUGGAGUGGUGUCCUCCGCCCGCCGCCGCCUCACCGGCCAGCAGGUGGCCAUCAAGAAGAUCCCUAAUGCCUUCGAUGUGGUGACCAAUGCCAAGCGGACCCUCAGGGAGCUGAAGAUCCUCAAGCACUUUAAGCACGACAACAUCAUCGCCAUCAAGGACAUCCUGAGGCCCACUGUGCCCUAUGGCGAAUUCAAAUCUGUGUAAGAAGCGGGAU